AUUGAACGCUGGCGGCAGGCCUAACACAUGCAAGUCGAGCGAGCGGCGGACGGGUGAGUAAUGUCUGGGAAACUGCCUGAUGGAGGGGGAUAACUACUGGAAACGGUAGCUAAUACCGCAUACCAUCAGAUGUGCCCAGAUGGGAUUAGCGGGUAGGUUGGGUAACGGCUCACCUAGGCGACGAUCCCUAGCUGGUCUGAGAGGAUGACCAGCAAGCCUGGAACGUGGGCACGUUCCAGACGCCUACGGUAGGCAGCAGUGGGGAUGAUUGCACAAGGGGCGCAAGCCUGAGGCAGCCAUGCCGCGUGUAUGAAGAAGGCCUUCGGGUUGUAAAGUACUUUCAGCGGGGAGGCGUUACCCGCAGAAGAAGCACCGGCUAACUCCGUGCCAGCAGCCGCGGUAAUAC
rnacentral:rRNA from 1 species